rnacentral:rRNA from 1 species
GCAGCCCCCUGGGAAUAACACUUACGGUCAAGCACGAAAGCGUGGGGAGCAAACAGGAUUAGAUACCNUGGUAGUCCACGCCCUAAACGAUGUCAACUAGUUGUUGGGGAUUCAUUUCCUUAGUAACGUAGCUAACGCGUGAAGUUGNCCGCUGGGGAGUACGGUCGCAAGAUUAAAACUCAAAGGAAUUGACGGGGACCCGCACAAGCGGUGGAUGAUGUGGAUUAAUUCGAUGCAACGCGAAAAACCUUACCUACCCUUGACAUGCCACUAACGAAGCAGAGAUGCAUUAGUGCUCGAAAGAGAAAGUGGACACAGGUGCUGCAUGGCUGUCGUCAGCUCGUGUCGUGAGAUGUUGGGUUAAGUCCCGCAACGAGCGCAACCCUUGUCUCUAGUUGCUACGAAAGGGCACUCUAGAGAGACUGCCGGUGACAAACCGGAGGAAGGUGGGGAUGACGUCAAGUCCUCAUGGCCCUUAUGGGUAGGGCUUCACACGUCAUACAAUGGUGCAUACAGAGGGUUGCCAAGCCGCGAGGUGGAGCUAAUCCCAGAAAAUGCAUCGUAGUCCGGAUCGUAGUCUGCAACUCGACUACGUGAAGCUGGAAUCGCUA